rnacentral:rRNA from 1 species
AGUUUGAUCCUGGCUCAGGACAAACGCUGGCGGCAUGCCUAACACAUGCAAGUCGAACGGACGGAGGCUUGAGAUCUCUUCGGAGUGAUCGAGCCCGAGUUAGUGGCGGAUGGGUGAGUAACGCGUGGGGAACCUACCUUUUAGUGGGGAAUAAUCGUUGGAAACGACGACUAAUACCGCAUACAGUGUCCGGAUCGCAUGAUCCGGAUAAAAAAGACGGCCUUUGUGCUGUCGCUAAGAGAUGGACCCGCGUCUGAUUAGCUAGUUGGUAAGGUAACGGCUUACCAAGGCGACGAUCAGUAGCCGGCCUGAGAGGGUGAACGGCCACAUUGGGACUGAGACACGGCCCAAACUCCUACGGGAGGCAGCAGUGGGGAAUCUUCCGCAAUGGGCGAAAGCCUGACGGAGCAAUGCCGCGUGAGUGAAGAAGGCCUUCGGGUUGUAAAGCUCUAUCGUAGCCGAAGAGAGCGAUAGGUAGUAACUGACCUAGCGAGGACGGUAGGCUACAAGGAAGCCCCGGCUAACUAUGUGCCAGCAGCCGCGGUAAAACAUAGGGGGCAAGCGUUGUCCGGAAUCACUGGGCGUAAAGGGCGCGUAGGUGGUCUGUUAAGUCAGAUGUGAAAUGUAAGGGCUCAACCCUUAACGUGCAUCUGAUACUGGCAGACUUGAGUGCGGAAGAGGCAAGUGGAAUUCCUAGUGUAGCGGUGAAAUGCGUAGAUAUUAGGAGGAACACCAGUGGCGAAGGCGACUUGCUGGGCCGUAACUGACGCUGAGGCGCGAAAGCGUGGGGAGCAAACAGGAUUAGAUACCCUGGUAGUCCACGCCGUAAACGAUGAUUACUAGGUGUUGGAGGAUUGACCCCUUCAGUGCCGCAGUUAACACAAUAAGUAAUCCACCUGGGGAGUACGACCGCAAGGUUGAAACUCAAAGGAAUUGACGGGGGCCCGCACAAGCAGUGGAGUAUGUGGUUUAAUUCGACGCAACGCGAAGAACCUUACCAAGUCUUGACAUCCCUUGACAGACAUAGAAAUAUGUUUUCUCUUCGGAGCAAGGAGACAGGUGGUGCAUGGUUGUCGUCAGCUCGUGUCAUGAGAUGUUGGGUUAAGUCCCGCAACGAGCGCAACCCUUAUGGUCAGUUACUACGCAAGAGGACUCUGGCCAGACUGCCGUUGACAAAACGGAGGAAGGUGGGGAUGACGUCAAAUCAUCAUGCCCUUUAUGACUUGGGCUACACACGUACUACAAUGGCGUUAAACAAAGAGAAGCAAGACCGCGAGGUGGAGCAAAACUCAGAAACAACGUCCCAGUUCGGACUGCAGGCUGCAACUCGCCUGCACGAAGUCGGAAUUGCUAGUAACCAAGGAUCAGCAUGCCACGGUGAAUACGUUCCCGGGC